GAUGAACGCUGGCGGCGUGCCUAAUACAUGCAAGUCGAACGCUGAAGGAGGAGCUUGCUCUUCUGGAUGAGUUGCGAACGGGUGAGUAACGCGUAGGUAACCUGCCUGGUAGCGGGGGAUAACUAUUGGAAACGAUAGCUAAUACCGCAUGACAACAGUUAUUGCAUGAUAACUGUUUAAAAGGGGCAACUGCUCCACUACCAGAUGGACCUGCGUUGUAUUAGCUAGUUGGUGAGGUAACGGCUCACCAAGGGGACGAUACCUAGCCGACCUGAUAGGGUGAGCGGCCACACUGGGAAUGGGACACGGCCCAGACUCCUAAGGGAGGCAGCAGUAGGGAAUCUUCGGCAAUGGACGGAAGUCUGACCGAGCAACGCCGCGUGAGUGAAGAAGGUUUUCGGAUCGUAAAGCUCUGUUGUAAGAGAAGAACGAGUGUGAGAGUGGAAAGUUCACACUGUGACGGUAUCUUACCAGAAAGGGACGGCUAACUACGUG
rnacentral:rRNA from 1 species